AGCCACAGUGAUCUCACAGUAACACCACAUAGAACCUGAGUAGUGGCUGGGGCAGAAUUACACAACCAGAUCUGAGGAGAUGGUGAAACCAGGGGAGAGCGGCUGGGAUGGCAGCGGGUCCAGCAGAGCCCACCUGUCUGCUUUUCUUCUCCAUGGUCUGUGCACAGCCUCACUGCCUGGAGCAGGAAUUGCCCACCCCAACCCCUGCUCACACUCAGAAAUUGCCUUGCCAGUAGCUCUCUUCCAUUUCAGACAAGAUCUAUUUUUACUCCGAUCCCUGAUGAGCCGAUGCAGGUCUAUAAAGACUGAUUUGAAAUUCUGUAGCUCAGCAGGAGCGUCACAGGCAGGAGAAAACAGGCUGCGAGGGUGUGUGUUUCUUGGCCACGUUCUCUGCUGCUGUCAGUAUUUACAGGCAGGCUGGGAAGCCACAUCUUUUUCCUCUAACAGCUUUCUCCAGGCUGAUCCACUAUCUAAUGCAGAAAGUACAUCUCCGAGUUGCCACUUGCAGACAUUUGACAGCCUUCAAGAAACUGAUGCAGUGCCACAGAGCCAAGAUCCCCCAGAAAGCCGUGCUGAUAAAGCUACAGACAGUCACAUCGACCUGAAUUUUUAAAGAAAGAAAAACAACGCCAUGGAAAAAAGCUUCUGAAGGAGGGAGAUGAGAAGGGGGUCAAAGUUUACAACCAACAGUGACAUCCAUCCCAGGAGAAGGAGGAAGUAUUGAAGCAGAUGCUCUGACCAGAGAUGCCACAUGGGAGGGCCUGGCAUGCGGAGCCAGCAUUGCAGGGAAGCGCAGCGCCCUGCCAGAGGGGAGAGGGGCAGAGGAGUUGCCUUCCUGCAUGGGGCCGACCGAGAAGGAGGUGCUGGGGCUUCACAGGAACGCCUGUCCACGUCCCACUGUCACCUCUGGUUUCUGUUUUUUUCUGAGAACAAAACCAAUGCAGUCACCCAAACACACUCUGCAGGACUCUGGGAUCAUGAAACAGGAUCCCUGACAAUGGAUACUGCAUUAAAAUCAAAAGCUAUUUUGGCACAUGCA